AAGGCUGCCUCACUGGCCACUCUGCCUUCUCUUUGGGAUCACAGGAGCCCAUGCCCAAGCCAGAGAAAGACUAUCUAGGCUUGUGGGGCAGCCUAGGCAGAGCAAUGUUGGCCAGAAUCCAAACAGUUUAGGCUGUUCAAAUCCUUGGACCGUCUCCCUGCCCCAGGAAAGCACCCUCAGAUUUGGGGUCUUCCCAAAUUGGUAGUUUUUCAUAUGGGAACCUUCCACACUUGGUUCUAAAGCGCUGCCUUUUUGAUCUCCACGUGGGCAGGCCAGUGAUGGCGGCGCUGGUGGAGUCGGUGGCUGCAGAGCCCGGCGGCCGAAGCGGCCCUGACAGAGGUCGAGCCCCUCGGGGACGCUUGGCCAAUCAGAUCCCCCCUGAGAUCCUGAACAACCCCCACCUGCAGGCAGCCAUUCAAGUCUUGCCUUCCAACUAUAACUUUGAGAUUCCCAAGACCAUCUGGAGGAUUCAACAGGCUCAAGCCAAGAAGGUGGCCUUGCAAAUGCCUGAAGGCCUUCUCCUUUUUGCCUGCACCAUUGUGGAUAUCUUGGAAAGGUUCACAGAGGCCGAAGCGAUGGUGAUGGGUGAUGUGACGUAUGGGGCCUGCUGUGUGGAUGACUUUACUGCAAGGGCCCUGGGAGCUGACUUCCUGGUGCACUAUGGCCACAGCUGCCUGGUUCCCAUGGACACCUCGGUCCAAGACUUCCGGGUGCUGUACGUCUUUGUGGACAUCCGGAUAGAUACUACCCACCUCCUGGAUUCUAUCCGCCUCACCUUCCCCCCAGCCAGUUCCCUUGCCUUGGUCAGCACCAUUCAGUUUGUGUCAACCUUGCAGGCAGCUGCCCAGGAGCUGAAAGCUGAGUAUCGUGUGAGUGUCCCACAGUGCAAGCCCCUAUCUCCUGGGGAGAUUCUGGGCUGUACGUCCUCCCACCUGCCCAAAGAGGUGGAGGCUGUUGUAUAUCUUGGAGAUGGCCGCUUCCAUCUGGAGUCUGUCAUGAUUGCUAACCCUAGUGUCCCCGCUUACCGAUAUGACCCAUACAGCAAAGUCUUAUCCAGAGAGCACUAUGACCACCAGCGCAUGCAGGCCAACCGCCAAGAAGCCAUAACCACAGCCCGCUCAGCUAAAUCCUGGGGCCUUAUCCUGGGCACUUUGGGCCGCCAGGGCAGCCCUAAGAUUCUGGAGCACCUGGAAUCUCGGCUCCAAGCCUUGGGACUUCCAUUCAUGAGGCUGCUGCUCUCUGAGAUCUUCCCCAGCAAGCUUAGCCUGUUUCCUGAGGUGGAUGUGUGGGUGCAGGUGGCAUGUCCACGCCUUUCCAUUGACUGGGGCACAGCCUUCCCCAAGCCGCUGCUGACACCCUAUGAGGCUGUGGUGGCCCUGAGGGACAUUUCCUGGCAGCAGCCCUACCCCAUGGACUUCUACGCCGGCAGUUCCUUGGGGCCUUGGACAGUGAACCACGGACGGAACCGCCCCCCCCAGGCCCUGGGCCGGCCGUCGCUGACGAAGAUGCAAAUGCAGGAGGAGCCCACGCGCCCUACUCCAGCAGCGGCCUGCGACGAUUGCAGCUGCAGAGAAGAAAAGGGAGCGCCGCUCAUUCCGUAGACCCUCCUAGGUCUCAGAGCCCUGCCUUCCGGAGGAGCAGCCUCGAGGCUGGUGGUUUUCAGAACAGGAAGCAGACGUUUUCAACGCCCUGAGCCAUCCCACAGUGUGCAGAGAAAAACCCAUUUUGAAACCGAAGUCUGGAUUUCUGGCCUUCCAUACAACCUCCAGGGAAGCACCAAACAGGGAAGUGUUUGCAGUUGUGAGCCUCCAGGACAAGCUUAACUGCUGUAGACCCUCUGAACUACCAGCUUGAAGGGUGGGAUGAUGCUCAACCUUGGGUAGAGGCCCAAGCCUGCACAGAAGAAACCCUAUUACAGCCCUGACCUCAUCUACAGAGUUUCUGGGGUUGAUGCUACUCCGCAAGGAUCCAGCCAAGGCCUAAGGAGCCCCUCCAGUUCUUGAGUACAGUUAGUUGUUCCUAAGCUGUCACUAGGUCCGCUUUUGCUAUUUGCCCUACUUCUAGUGCCUCCACCUGUGGCUCACCCUGCAAUGGUUUCAGCCCUGCCUCUGCAGGUUCACCAGCCUGUUCCUUUUCUGAAAGAUUACAGGAGGCCCUGGUCUAACCCCCAUGCACGGUUGCCCCCAGGGAGGUUAGUAAUUGAGUAGGAAUUAGGAUUAGGGGAUACAGCACAAAUACUCCAGCCUGCCCUGAGCCAAUCAGACUAACAUCCCUUAAAUUGCCCCUAAUCCUGAGUUCUUCCCUACACAUAGCACUUGUCUAAGAUGAAAAAGCUGGAGUUACCAGCCCCCCUUCCCCCCAGUCACCACCAGACACCCAGCUUACUGGAUUUAGGACCUUUACAGCAGAAACUGAGGAUGGGAGGAUAGUUCUCCCUUGCUACAGUCUGCCUCUGCCUUGCUCUUGGUGUUUAAAGGGAUCCCUUUUUUGGCAAAAAAAAAAAAAAAAAAAGGAGACU